rnacentral:lncRNA from 1 species
AAACUAGACAUGAAACAAAUUAAUUCUUGUGCCUUUGAUCAUCUUGAUUCAAUUUUGAAUUCAUUGAUUCCAAUUCUACCAAAAAAAAAAAAAAAAGUUGAUUCAGUUGACAACAAAAUACAUAGAUAUAAAGUCAAAAUAACAAAAUUUAUGAAAAAAAUACAUAUUACCUUCAUCUAACUGGUUGUAAUGCUCAACAUCUUCCAUGUGGAAACCAUCUAACUAUGGAGAAGCUUUCAACCAAUUUUGUGUGCAUACCAAGACUUCCACCAUUUUAGGACUUAAUGAAUUACGAAAAGGAUCAAGUAUCCUUCCUCCGAUGCUAAAAGCACUUUCUGAAGUAACCGUUGAAACUUGAAUUGCCAACACAUCCUUAGCAAGAUUAGACAAGACACCGUACUUACUUUUGUUAAACUUCCACCAAUUGAGAACAUCAAAGUCCUUGUUCUCUAUGCUUUCACGAGCAUCAAGUAAGUAUCUUUCCACAACAUUUUUUAUUUCAGCAUAAUCUUUUACAAAUUGUUUUUUCAAAAAUCUAGAAAGACGAGCAUCACUCAUAGAAGAAGAACUAUCUUUAUUUGUACCGAAAGAAGUCAAAGACUCGUUAGUUGAUACUUGACUACUUCCAUGAACACCUUCA